rnacentral:ncRNA from 2 species
CCGUGAAAGCGUGGCCUAUCGAUCCUUUAG